CACGAGAGCCUCAAGCGUUAUCCGGAAUUAUUGGGCGUAAAGGGUGUGUAGGCGGUAAUGUUAGUCUCAUGUUAAAGCCCGUCGCUUAACGACGGAUCGGCAUGGGAAACGGCAUAACUAGGAGGGUGCGAGAGGUGAAUGGAAACUCACGGUGUAGGGGUGAAAUCCGUUGAUAUCGUGGGGAACGCCAAAAGCGAAGGCAAUUCACUGGCGCAUACCUGACGCU
rnacentral:rRNA from 1 species